AACGAACGCUGGCGGCAUGCCUAACACAUGCAAGUCGAACGAGACCUUCGGGUCUAGUGGCGCAUGGGUGCGUAACGCGUGGGAACCUGCCCUUAGGUUUGGAAUAACUCCCCGAAAGGGGUGCUAAUACCGGAUCAUGUCUUCGGACCAAAGAUUUAUCGCGUUUGGAUGGGCUCGCGUUGGAUUAGCUAGUUGGUAGGGUAAAAGCCUACCAAGGCGACGAUCCAUAGCUGGUUUGAGAGGAUGAUCAGCCACACUGGGACUGAGACACGGCCCAGACUCCUACGCGAGGCAGCAGAGGGGAAUAUUGCACAAUGGGCGAAGGCCUGAUCCAGCAAGGCCGCGUGAGUGAUGAAGGCCUUAGGGUUGUAAAGCUCUUUUACCCGGGAUGAUAAUGACAGUACCGAGAGAAUAAGCUCCGGCUAACUCCGUG
rnacentral:rRNA from 1 species